rnacentral:rRNA from 1 species
UACAGAGGGUGCAAGCGUUAAUCGGAAUUACUGGGCGUAAAGCGCACGUAGGUGGACUUUUAAGUCGAUUGUGAAAUCCCUGGGCUUAACCUGGGAACUGCAUUCGAUACUGGAAGUCUAGAGUAUGGUAGAGGAAAGUAGAAUUCCCGGUGUAGCGGUGAAAUGCGUAGAUAUCGGGAGGAAUACCAGUGGCGGAAGCGGCUUUCUGGACUAAUACUGACACUGAGGUGCGAAAGCGUGGGUAGCAAACAGG